CAUGCAGUCGAGCGGCAGCGCGGGGGCACCUGGCGGCGAGCGGCGCACGGGUGAGUAAUGCAUCGGAACGUGUCCUCUUGUGGGGGAUAACCAGUCGAAAGACUGGCUAAUACCGCAUGAGAUCGAGAGAUGAAAGCAGGGGACCCGCAAGGGCCUUGCGCGAAGGAGCGGCCGAUGCCCGAUUAGCUAGUUGGUGGGGUAAAAGCCUACCAAGGCGACGAUCGGUAGCUGGUUUGAGAGAACGACCAGCCACACUGGGACUGAGACACGGCCCAGACUCCUACGGGAGGCAGCAGUGGGGAAUUUUGGACAAUGGGGGCAAACCCUGAUCCAGCCAUGCCGCGUGUGUGAAGAAGGCCUUCGGGUUGUAAAGCACUUUCGGCCGGAACGAAAUCGCACUGGUGAAUAUCCAGUGUGGAUGACGGUACCGGAAGAAGAAGCACCGGCUAACUACGUGCCAGCAGCCGCGGUAAUACGUAGGGUGCGAGCGUUAAUCGGAAUUACUGGGCGUAAAGUGUGCGCAGGCGGUCUCGCAAGUCAAGUGUGAAAGCCCCGGGCUUAACCUG
rnacentral:rRNA from 1 species